GUUGCAUUACAUACUUCUGCCCAUGCGUUACCUUUGGUCGGAUUGCAGAAAUUGUAGAUGAAGGAAAAAGUUCAUGCUGUGGGCAAGGUUGUACAUACUGCGGCUUGAUGUUGUUUGGGCUCCAAUGGCUCUACUCAUGCUUCUACAGACAGAAACUGCGCGCCAAAUAUAACUUACCGGACAAGCCAUGUUGCGAUUGUGGUGUUCAUUUCUUCUGCGACUCAUGUGCCCUUUGCCAAGAGCAUGCGGAGCUCAAAGAUAGAGGCUUGGACCCCACCAAAGGUUGGGCUGGACGACCAUAUGCUGCUCCAAAAAUGUUUUCCAUGUUUAGAAAGUAAUCUCCAGUAUUUAUUUCUGAGUGGGUAUUAUUUGUCACUUUCUUGACAUUGUCUUUUUUAUUUUAAUUAUGUAUUUUUAUUUAACAAAUAAUAUUAUCCACACUAAG